AAAUGAAUAGACGGGGACCCGCACAAGCAGCGGAGCAUGUGGUUUAAUUCGAAGCAACGCGAAGAACCUUACCAAGGCUUGACAUCCCUUGACCGCCAUAGAGAUAUGGCUUCCCUUCGGGGCAAGGAGACAGGUGGUGCAUGGUUGUCGUCAGCUCGUGUCGUGAGAUGUUGGGUUAAGUCCCGCAACGAGCGCAACCCUUAUCAUUAGUUGCCAGCACUUCGGGUGGGAACUCUAAUGAGACUGCCGGGGAUAACUCGGAGGAAGGUGGGGACGACGUCAAAUCAUCAUGCCCCUUAUGUCUUGGGCUACACACGUGCUACAAUGGCCGGUACAAAGAGCUGCGAAAUCGUAAGGUAGAGCGAAUCUCAAAAAACCGGUCCCAGUUCGGAUUGUGGGCUGCAACCCGCCCACAUGAAGCCGGAGUUGCUAGUAAUCGCGAAUCAGCACGUCGCGGUGAAUGCGUUCCCGGGUCUUGUACACACCGCCCGU
rnacentral:rRNA from 1 species